UGGGUUCAGUGCAUGGCGUGAUGAGGUCUGAUGGGUUCUGUGUAUGGUGUGAUGGAGUCUGAUGGGUUCUGUGUAUGGUGUGAUGAGGUCUGAUGGGUUCUGUGCAUGUUGUGAUGAGGUCUGAUGGGUUCUGUGUAUGGUGUGAUGAGGUCUGAUGGGUUCUGUGCAUGUUGUGAUGAGGUCUGAUGGGUUCAGUGCAUGGUGUGAUGAGGUCUGAUGGGUUCAGUGCAUGGCGUGAUGAGGUCUGAUGGGUUCUGUGCAUGUUGUGAUGAGGUCUGAUGGGUUCUGUGUAUGGUGUGAUGAGGUCGGUUUGGUUCUGUGUAUGGUGUGAUGAGGUCUGAUGGGUUCUGUGUAUGGUGUGAUGAGGUCUGAUGGGUUCUGUGUAUGGUGUGAUGAGGUCUGAUGGGUUCUGUGUGUGGUGUGAUGAGGUCUGAUGGGUUAUGUGUGUGGUGUGAUGAGGUCUGAUGGGUUCUGUGUAUGGUGUGAUGAGGUCGGUUUGGUUCUGUGUAUGA